GCCAGAUACAGGAAAAGGAUAAUGCCAAGUUCAGCUUGGGAUAGAAUGUGAAGUUAAGUUGUAAAGUAUGUUGAAGAAUAGUAUUGUCAUGUGUUAGACAGUCAUGAUUGUGUAUAAGUUAAGGUUACUCGAUUUUGGGAAUAGUGUGUAAAGUUUAAUGUAUAAACAAUUUAUGUUUAUAUCUUCCGCAAACAGUUGUAGAAAUAGCGAACCGGAUCCGCGGCGAUUCGGGACCCGGAUUCGGAGCUGCCACAGUACGUUGGUGGAAUUUUCCUACAAUAACAGUUACCACGCGAGCAUCGGCAUGCCGCCUUACAAAGCAUUGUAUGGCAGGAGGUGCAGAACUCCACUGUGCUGGGAUAAAGUUGGUGAACAUCAACUGUUAAGACCAGAAC
rnacentral:lncRNA from 1 species